rnacentral:rRNA from 1 species
UACGUAGGGGGCAAGCGUUGUCCGGAUUUAUUGGGCGUAAAAGGCUUGUAGGUGGCCACGCCAAGUCGGAUGUGAAAUCUCCCGGCUCAACUGGGAGGGGUCAUUCGAUACUGGCGGGCUCGAGGCCGGUAGGGGGAAGUGGAAUUCCCGGUGUAGUGGUGGAAUGCGUAGAUAUCGGGAGGAACACCAGUGGCGAAGGCGGCUUCCUGGACCGGUUCUGACACUGAGGAGCGAAAGCGUGGGGAGCGGAUCCGG